GUCAACAUGGAUUCACCAAUGGCAAGUCAUGCCUGACCAAUCUGAUUAGCUUCUAUGAUGAGGAAAAGCUUCAAGCCCAAGACGACUGCCACCAGAGAAGACCAGAUUGUCAAGUCAGCCCAAUGCAACCCUUGUUGAGAUCCAUGGGUUUUGGUUCUUUUCCUAGCUGACCUUUCACACCUCACUGUCUGUUGCAACAACUCACAUCCUGUUUCAAUCAACACAGAUCAUAAAUUUUUCAAGAAGAGGAUGUAUUGUAUAAGUUUUUGAAGCAUAAUGUAUCUUUAUGGGGCUACAGAAGCACACCACAGACUGUUUCAAUGGAAAUAAGCAUUCUUUUCAUUUUGUUGUCAUAGUCCAAAGCCAAUAUGAAAACACACUGUUCUAGAUUUUUCAUUUUCUCUACAGAAGUACUAUUAUGCACAGAGAAAUUUAAAACAAUUUAAAAUUGGAAAUUUAAAAUUUCCAGAGAAAUUUAAAACAAUUCUAAUCCAUAUGUGCAUGCACAUAAUAUGAAUUAAUGUUGCCAGCCUGGAUAGUCCAACUACAGCCAAACCAUAAAAGGGAAGGAAAUUAGCAGUUUAAUUAUUCCCCUUACUACAUCUGAACUUCAGCAUCCAUUUCCCACCUCCGCCAUGUUCUCUCUACCACUCAUGGCUACAUAAUUAUAUAUAUUUUGAUGUUUAAUAUAAUGUGGUUGUAACCCUCAGAAUUACCCCAUACAUGACGUCAUGCAUCUGACAAAGUAGUCUGACCCACAAAAGCUCAUGCCCAAAUAAAUCUUUAAGGUGUCACGGGAUUUCUCAUUAUCACGACCAAGGUAUGUAAUUUCAUACUAAUGGAAGUCAGAUCAUGGUAAUAAGAUUAUAUAGUGUGGCCAUUAAAUAAGUUUUUCUGUAACAUUCAGGAAAAAAAAUGUGACAAGGAUGAUCUACAGCUCUUCAAGCACACCAAGCAAGAACCAUAUCCCCAGGCAACUGCAUUAUUUUAAAACUGUGGUGUGUGAAUCACAGUUGGUUUAUAGAGCUUCUGCUGUCACAACAGUGACUCAGCCCUGGACCAGCUUUAUCUAGAGCAGGUCAAAACUGUAUUUUGAAUAGAAAAAUGUUUGGACAUUUUUACCUUGUGAGAAAGUGUCAAUUUUCAUGACAUUUCAAUUUGAAAGAGUCCAAGUGUUUAAUUUCAACUUUAUCAAUUUCACUCAUUUUGUUUUGACUUAUACUAUAAUAUUAAAAGUAAUAUUUCAUCAACAUGAACUGUUUUUAUGGUUCCAACAUUUUUUGGAAAUUUCAGCUUUUCAGUUCAAUUUAGAGUCAAACAAGCCUUCAAAAUGUUGGAAGUUCCUGAAAAACAGAAAUUGCAUAUUCUGACCAGCUCCAGUUUCAUUGUAAACCAGCUGCUAAUGGUCUUGGGUUACGUCCUUAGAAAGAGGGUUUAUAUCACUUGUGAAUUAUAAUCCUACUUGAUGCAACUGCAGGUAUUCUUUUUACUCAUAUAAAUAUAUAAUCCUUUUUUUAAAUCCCACUAAGCCUCAGUAAUAAGCCAAUUGAGAAAGUGCUUAGCUGGAUAAUCUGGAUCUAGAUUUCUUGCACCUGAUAAAUGAACCAUAACGCCAAACCAACAAACCACUUUGUUACAUGAGCACUUCACACUAUGUUAAGAAAACAGCAGCAAUAAUUCGCCAACAAAGGAACAGAGCACUUGCUUUCAUUCAAGAGCUUCCCUGGGAUUUGAACCUGCAGGAGCAAGAAAAACAUUUUACUAAAAUAAGCUGCAUUCUAAAAUUCAGUGGGGAAUUUCUUCUAUGAUACAUUAUGGCAAGCGAACAGGAACACUCAAAACUUAAAAGGGGGGAGGGGGAAAGCUUGCUGUGAAACACCUCAUAAAAUAAUCACCAGGACAAGAAAUGUCUGCUACAGAUUCCUUAUGACAGAAUGCAUCAAGUAAAGAGGGAUAGUUGUUUUAUAGACAUUCAAAAUCUCCUGGGUUCCCCAAAUUCAUAGAACUAAAUCAUCCUGUGUUGCUACCAUGUUUUUGUAGCAUGGACCACUUUUUAAAGGCAACAAAUGGAGUGCAGGGCAGCUGUGCUCCUCUUUUUUUAUAUUGUAUAUAUAUGAUGGAGAAGGUCUAUUCUCAUUGUGUUCUUGUUUGUUUGCUUUCUUGUUUUGUUUUGGAAACUCUGCUCUAUGCAGAAUACUGGUAACAACAGUGAUAUUUUUAAUUUCCUACAUGUACCACCUUUUUAAGAUCGCAAAGUGCUUUGCAGGGAUAAUAAUAAUCCAGAUUUUGAAGAUGGAGAAAAUGUAUCAGAAAAGUGAGGUGUCUUGUUUAGAACCACAAAUAGGUAUAUAAAAUCCCAUUGAUUCAGUUAAAUGAGUGGGUGGGCUUAUUGGUUAACAAUUCACAUCUCUAGUCAUGAAUGAAAUCUAGACCUCCUAAAUUCACCCUCCUCAAGUCACACAACAGUUUGUGUGUCUUCUCUUAGCACUCAGAUUUGCAUUCUUGAUUUAAUUAGACACAUGGAAAUUAAGUUUUCUAUCUACCCAAGUUGAAAAGUUCAUCCUGUUCUAGUUUUUCAUAGAAUAACAAAACCUUAAAGUUUAGCACCUGGAAUCCAUUACAAGUCUAGUACAAAUCUUUAUUCAGGAGAUUUGAGAAUCAUUGUAAGUUUUAAUGUUAGCUUUUCAAGCACAGCAUAUACUCAGAUUGUAAAUGCCAUCAAUAACAUCAGAUUAUAUUCAGUUUACUGUAAGUACAUCUUAAUAUUUUAUUCACGUUCAUUAAACAACAUUCAAUUCAGCCUAUAAAGCCUUACUCAGAAGCUCUGUAUUUUGCAAACCUACAGAAGCAGAAAAUAGAUAAUUCAAAAAGCUUAAGAGAAAAGAUCUCAACUACAGUAUAAGCCAGGGGUCCCCAAACUACGGCCCGCGGGCCGGAUGCGGCCCGCGAGGCCCUCUCAUCCAGCCCGUGGAGACCUUUUUGUCUACGGAAAAAAAAUUACGGAAAUUUACGUGUAUCCUGCCAA